UGUGACUACUCCAUAGGUACAGGCUAGA
rnacentral:piRNA from 1 species